GGGGGGUAACCCCUGGUGGCGAGUGGCGAACGGGUGAGUAAUACAUCGGAACGUAUCCUGUAGCGGGGGAUAACCUCUCGAAAGAGAGGCUAAUACCGCAUACGACCUACGGGUGAAAGAGGGGGAUCGCAAGACCUCUCACUAUAGGAGCGGCCGAUGUCGGAUUAGCUAGUUGGUGGGGUAAAAGCUCACCAAGGCAACGAUCCGUAGCUGGUCUGAGAGGACGACCAGCCACACUGGAACUGAGACACAGUCCAGACUCCUACGGGAGGCAGCAGUGGGGAAUUUUGGACAGGGGGCGCAAGCCUGAUCCAGCCAUGCCGCGUGGGUGAAGAAGGCCUUCGGGUUGUAAAGCCCUUUCGGCUGGGACGAAAAGAUUCGGGUUAAUAACCCGGAUCCAUGACGGUACCAGCAGAAGAAGCACCGGCUAACUACGUGCCAGCAGCCGCGGUAAUACGUAGGGUGCAGGCGUUAAUCGGAAUUACUGGGCGUAAAGCGUGCGCAGGCGGUCUGCUAAAAAAGAUGUAAAAUCCCCGGGCUUAACCUGGGAACUGCGUUUCUAACUGGC
rnacentral:rRNA from 1 species